GUAGCCUUGGCUGUCCUGGAACUCAGUAUGUAGACCACGCUGGCCUUGCACUCACAGAGGUCUGCCUGUCCCUGCCUCCUGAGUGCUGGGAUUAAAUGUGUGAGUCACUAAGACCAGCUAUUUUUCUUUUUGUUCAUGUUUCAUUCAUUGCUGCUCUGAUUUUGAUAUUUUCUUUCUUUUGCUAUUUCAGGGCUUAGCUCACUGACUUUUUGUUUCUUGUCCCAUGACACCAAGUGGCCACCUUCCUUCUCUUUAGUGUUCAUGGUUUUUUUUUUUUUUUUUUGGUAGAAACUUCCCUUUUAAAAUUCCCCUUUAGAAUUACACCAUGUUAAAAACAGCCUGUUGUAUUCCCAUUUUCUUUGUCUUAAGACAAUCAACAAAUUUAAUUUUUAUUCCUUCUUUGACCCAUUUUAUUCUUCAGAGUACGGUAUUGGUAUUUCAUUAAUAGCAUUUCACUUUGCUUUUCAAUUUCUUACUUGUGAUUAAGUUCAGCUUUCAUACCAUUGUAGUUAAAAGUUGUUGGUAUAUUUGUCUCUUUUUAUGCUCAGAUCACAAGGUUCCCAGAGACCACCAGAGACCACCAAGAGUCCAAUUCAGAUGCAAAAGCAAAGAAUCUUUAUUCAAGCUCUGACCCUUCAACCUCUCCAGCGCAAUGGAAGGUGUGGAAAGUGCUGAGCUGGUACAGCAUUUGGAGGCUCUGAAUUGUAGGGGCGAUUCACUACAUCACAUUACAUACGCUGGUAGGGUGGUCCUACAAGUCACUGAUUCUAAGCAGGGCUCAAGAGAUGGACAGUGGCUUGGACAGUCCUGAAUAAAGUGGUGGCAGCUGUGAAUGAAGGAGAUGCGGGGCAGCCUCAGGACAAGGAGGCUUGUGAAACCCAGAAGAGUUACUCUGUUGCUACUUGUGAGAUUCAGGAGGAAUUACUGUGUUGUUACUUGUGAAAUCCAGAAGGAAUUCCGUUGUUGCUACUGAUGAGAUACACGUUACUCUGUUGCUACUCUUAAAUCCAGAAGGAGUUACUCUGUUGCUAUUUCAGGUCCUUACACAAAGGAGCAUUCCAGGAUUAAAACUUUUAUAAACCUGUAUUUCUAACCCACAACAACAUUCAAACCUAAAAAUGAGCCACAAGCCAUCAGGCAGAUUCUUAAUUUUCCUUCUGCUCAUUUAUCUUGGUUCUGUGUGCUUCUUAAUUUAAAUAUUAUGAACACUGAACGAAAUACUAAAUGGUUAUUUUUUAAAUUGUAAUACAAUGGGACUCUGCAAACAGACUCUGAU